UACGGAGGGUGCAGGCGUUAUCCGGAUUUAUUGGGUGUAAAGGGUGCGUAGGCGGAUCUGUAAGUCAGGGGUGAAAUCUCACAGCUUAACUGUGAAACUGCCAUUGAUACUGCAGGUCUUGAGUGUUAUUGAAGUAGCUGGAAUAAGUAGUGUAGCGGUGAAAUGCAUAGAUAUUACUUAGAACACCAAUUGCGAAGGCAGGUUACUAAGCAACAACUGACGCUGAUGGACGAAAGCGUGGGGAGCGAACAGG
rnacentral:rRNA from 1 species